rnacentral:misc_RNA from 1 species
CAGAGUUAUCCAACUCCCAAACCCAUGUGAACUUAUCUCUUUGUUGCCUCGGCGCAAGCUACCCGGGACCUACCCGGGAGGCCCGCCGGCGGACAAACCAAACUCUGUUAUCUUAGUUGAUUAUCUGAGUGUCUUAUUUAAUAAGUCA